rfam:Oryza glumipatula chromosome 3, whole genome shotgun sequence.
UAUAACUGCAACCAUAAGUUUCUGCGUCCAAUUUUAAUUGUCUUAUUUGAAAUUUUUUUAUAAUUAGUAUUUUUAUUGUUAUGAGAUGAUAAAACAUAAAUAGUACUUUACUCGUUACUUAUGUUUUUAAAUUUUUUCAAAAAAUUUUCAAAUAAGAUGGACGGUCAAAGUUAAGCGCGGAAAACUAUGGCUGCACUUAUA